rnacentral:rRNA from 1 species
GAUGAACGCUGGCGGCGUGCCUAAUACAUGCAAGUCGAGCGAACGGACGAGAAGCUUGCUUCUCUGAUGUUAGCGGCGGACGGGUGAGUAACACGUGGAUAACCUACCUAUAAGACUGGGAUAACUUCGGGAAACCGUAGCUAAUACCGGAUAAUAUUUUGAACCGCAUGGUUCAAAAGUGAAAGACGGUCUUGCUGUCACUUAUAGAUGGAUCCGCGCUGCAUUAGCUAGUUGGUAAGGUAACGGCUUACCAAGGCAACGAUGCAUGGCCGACCUGAGAGGGGGAUCGGCCACACUGGAACUGAGACACGGUCCAGACUCCUACGGGAGGCAGCAGUAGGGAAUCUUCCGCAAUGGGCGAAAGCCUGACGGAGCAACGCCGCGUGAGUGAUGAAGGUCUUCGGAUCGUAAAACUCUGUUAUGAGGGAAGAACAUAUGUGGAAGUAACUGUGCACAUCUUGACGGUACCUAAUCAGAAAGCCACGGCUAACUACGUG